rnacentral:rRNA from 1 species
UACGUAGGGUGCGAGCGUUGCCCGGAUUUAUUGGGCGUAAAGGGCGCGCAGGCGGCUACGCACGUCCGUUGUGAAAUCGCUCGGCUCAACUGGGCGGGGUCAGCGGAUACGGCGUAGCUGGAGCAAGCUAGGGGGCAAUGGAAUUCCCGGUGUAGUGGUGGAAUGCGUUGAUAUCAUCAGGAACACCGGUGGCGAAGGCGGCUUUCUGGGUCCUACCUGACGCUGAGGAACGAAAGCUAGGGGAGCGAACGGG